UACGUAGGGUGCAAGCGUUAAUCGGAAUUACUGGGCGUAAAGCGUGCGCAGGCGGUGAUGUAAGACAGGUGUGAAAUCCCCGGGCUUAACCUGGGAACUGCAUUUGUGACUGCAUCGCUGGAGUGCGGCAGAGGGGGAUGGAAUUCCGCGUGUAGCAGUGAAAUGCGUAGAUAUGCGGAGGAACACCGAUGGCGAAGGCAAUCCCUGGGCCUGCACUGACGCUCAUGCACGAAAGCGUGGGGAGC
rnacentral:rRNA from 1 species